rnacentral:rRNA from 1 species
GCGAGGCCGAAAGGCGUAGUCGAUGGGAAAAUGGUUAAUAUUCCAUUACUUCUGUGUAAUGCGAUGAGAGGACGGAGAAGGCUAAAUCAGCCUGGCGUUGGUUGUCCAGGUGAAAGGAUGUAGGCAUGUAUCUUAGGCAAAUCCGGGGUACUCUAUGCUGAGAUCUGAUAGCAAGCUGUACUUGUACAGCGAAGUGGUUGAUGCCAUGCUUCCAGGAAAAGUCUCUAAGCUUCAGUUACACAGGAAUCGUACCCGAAACCGACACAGGUGGUCAGGUCGAGUAGACCAAGGCGCUUGAGAGAACUCUGCUGAAGGAACUAGGCAAAAUGGUACCGUAACUUCGGGAGAAGGUACGCUGUUGUUGGUGAUGGAACUCGCUUCCUGAGCUGACGACAGCCGCAGAAACCAGGCCGCUGCAACUGUUUAUUAAAAACAUAGCACUCUGCAAACACGAAAGUGGACGUAUAGGGUGUGAUGCCUGCCCGGUGCUGGAAGGUUAAUUGAUGGGGUUAGCGUAAGCGAAGCUCUUGAUCGAAGCCCCAGUAAACGGCGGCCGUAACUAUAACGGUCCUAAGGUAGCGAAAUUCCUUGUCGGGUAAGUUCCGACCUGCACGAAUGGCAUAAUGAUGGCGGCGCUGUCUCCAGCAGAGGCUCAGUGAAAUCGAAAUCGCUGUGAAGAUGCAGUGUACCCGCGGCUAGACGGAAAGACCCCGUGAACCUUUACUGCAGCUUGACACUGAACUUUGACCUUACUUGUGUAGGAUAGGUGGGAGGCUUUGAAGCUGGAACGCUAGUUCCAGUGGAGCCGUCCUUGAAAUACCACCCUGGUAAUGUUGAGGUUCUAACUCUGUCCCGUGAUCCGGGACGAGGACCGUGUCUGGUGGGUAGUUUGACUGGGGCGGUCUCCUCCUAAAGAGUAACGGAGGAGUACGAAGGUGCGCUCAGCGUGGUCGGAAAUCACGCGUAGAGUAUAAAGGCAAAAGCGCGCUUAACUGCGAGACCCACAAGUCGAGCAGGUACGAAAGUAGGUCUUAGUGAUCCGGUGGUUCUGUAUGGAAGGGCCAUCGCUCAACGGAUAAAAGGUACUCUGGGGAUAACAGGCUGAUACCGCCCAAGAGUUCAUAUCGACGGCGGUGUUUGGCACCUCGAUGUCGGCUCAUCUCAUCCUGGGGCUGAAGCAGGUCCCAAGGGUAUGGCUGUUCGCCAUUUAAAGAGGUACGCGAGCUGGGUUUAGAACGUCGUGAGACAGUUCGGUCCCUAUCUACCGUGGGCGCUGGAAAUUUGAGAGGAUCUGCUCCUAGUACGAGAGGACCAGAGUGGACGAACCUCUGGUGUACCGGUUGUGACGCCAGUCGCAUCGCCGGGUAGCUAUGUUCGGAAGGGAUAACCGCUGAAAGCAUCUAAGCGGGAAGCCUACCUCAAGAUAAGAUUUCCCUAGGACUUUAUGUCCUCUAAAGAGCCGUUCGAGACUAGGACGUUGAUAGGUUGGAUGUGGAAGCAUAGUGAUAUGUGAAGCUGACCAAUACUAAUUGCUCGUGAGGCUUGACUAU